ACCCAACCUCCCACCUUUAAUGUGUGGGGAUGGGACUAAGGUUUUCUCAUUUCUUUCAGAUUGUGCGCCUCCGAGGUGAACGUCUGACUGAAGUGAACUUGUGACUGGUCGAGAACUCCUCCAAACAGGUAAAGUACUUAUGACAAUAUAUAAUGUCUAUAUGCAAGUAUUUAUGAAUGUUAUGUUUUAAACUUCUUGUAUUCCAGGUUUGUUUGUGUGGCUGACUGUGGACCUACAAGGUUCUUCUUGGAGGUAAUAAAGAUACAUCAGUGAUGGUGAGGCCGUCACAUUAUCAGCCGUUGUGGAUUUUUCAAUUCAACCUUUAUAUUGCAGACUCCACAUAAGGUAAAACACUUCCAUUCAGCAAUUGGUGUGCAGUGUCCAGAUUGUCAACAUUUAGUUCAGUAUGAUGUUACUUCUGGCCAGCUUAACCUGAGGAGAAAGUCAGUACAGUACACGAUUAGAUUUUGAAAAGGAAACUGCAAAAUCUCAUGGUGUUGUCCCGACCUCCGUAAAGUGUCAUUAAUGCAAGAACGAAUGUAAGUGUCGCCAAGACCAACACAUGUGGUAACUCCAACGAGAACCAGGCCAAUAAGGUAAGAAAUAAGGGAUUCCAACAUAUGGCGAGAGUCGGUUAGAUUAGGUCCGGUUUAUGUUUUUAUAGGGUUUUUUUUUUUUGCAUUUUUCAUUCGCCGAGCCAAUAUUUUUUUCGGGAAACACCUCACCAAAAAAAUUAUAUACAAAAACGACCAAUUUCCGACGGAAAUGGAGGUCAUAACCGAUCUAAACACAAAUACGCUAAAAAUAUUUUGUUUUACUUUCUAAUUGUUGUGUGCACAUACAAAUGGACCUUUUGUCACCAGGAGACAACCAAGGAACCUCCAGGUUACGUUACGUUGUUAGGUUAGUUAUGGUGCUUUUUGGUUGUUGACCAAUGGGUUUUUCCGAUUGUAAAAUCCAUGGUUGUCCACUUUUAAAAAAUUACCAGGAACCUUAAUGUUACGGGAU